rnacentral:rRNA from 1 species
UACGGGGGGGGGCAAGCGUUGUUCGGAAUUACUGGGCGUAAAGGGCUCGUAGGCGGCCAACUAAGUCCGACGUGAAAUCCCCAAGCUUAACUUGGGAACUGCGUCGGAUACUGGAUGGCUUGAAUUCGGGAGAGGGAUGCAGAAUUCCAGGUGUAGCGGUGAAAUGCGUAGAUAUCUGGAGGAAUACCGGUGGCGAAGGCGGCAUCCUGGACCGAUAUUGACGCUGAUGAGCGAAAGCUAGGGGAGCAAACGGG